UACGUAGGGCGCAAGCGUUGUCCGGAAUUAUUGGGCGUAAAGCGUGCGCAGGCGGUUAUGUAAGACAGGUGUGAAAUCCCCGGGCUUAACCUGGGAACUGCAUUUGUGACUGCAUAGCUAGAGUACGGUAGAGGGGGAUGGAAUUCCGCGUGUAGCAGUGAAAUGCGUAGAUAUCAGGAGGAACACCAAUAGCGAAGGCAGCUCGCUGGGACGUUACUGACACUGGAGGCGCGAAGCGUGGGAGCGAACAGGAUUAGAACCCUAGGU
rnacentral:rRNA from 1 species